rnacentral:rRNA from 1 species
UACAGAGGGGGGCUAGCGUUGCUCGGAAUCACUGGGCGUAAAGGGUGCGUAGGCGGGUCUUUUAAGUCAGGGGUGAAAUCCUGGAGCUCAACUCCAGAACUGCCUUUGAUACUGAAGAUCUUGAGUUCGGGAGAGGUGAGUGGAACUGCGAGUGUAGAGGUGAAAUUCGUAGAUAUUCGCAAGAACACCAGUGGCGAAGGCGGCUCACUGGCCCGAUACUGACGCUGAGGCACGAAAGCGUGGGGAGCAAACAGG